rnacentral:tRNA from 1 species
GGAUCUUUAGCUCAGUUGGUUAGAGCUCCCGGCUCAUAACCGGUCGGUCCUGGGUUCGAGUCCCCGAAGAUCCACCA